CGCAGCAGUCGCGAAAACUUCACAAUGGGGGCAACCCCGAUGAGGGAAUUCCUAGUGCUAACACAAUUGUGUUAGCUUUUCUCUAGCGUAGAUAACUAGAGGAAUAAGGGCUGGGAAAGACGGGUGCCAGCCGCCGCGGUAAUACCUGCAGCCCAAGUGGUGGUCGAUUUUAUUGAGUCUAAAACGUUCGUAGCCGGUUCGAUAAAUCUUUGGGUAAAUCGGGGAGCUUAACUUUCCGUCUUCCGAGGAGACUGUCGAACUUGGGACCGGGAGAGGCUAGAGGUACUUCUGGGGUAGGGGUAAAAUCCUGUAAUCCUAGAAGGACCACCGGUGGCGAAGGCGUCUAGCUAGAACGGAUCCGACGGUGAGGGACGAAGCCCUGGGUCGCAAACGGGAUUAGAUACCCCGGUAGUCCAGGGUGUAAACGCUGCAGACUUGGUGUUGGAAGUCCUUUGGGGGCAUUCAGUGCCGGAGAGAAGUUGUUAAGUCUGCUACUUGGGGAGUACGUCCGCAAGGAUGAAACUUAAAGGAAUUGGCGGGGGAGCACCGCAACGGGAGGACCGUGCGGUUUAAUUGGAUUCAACACCGUAAAACUCACCA
rnacentral:rRNA from 1 species